rnacentral:tRNA from 1 species
GGAGAGAUGGCUGAGCUGGCUGAAGGCGCACGACUGGAACUCGUGUGUACGUUAAUAGCGUACCGAGGGUUCGAAUCCCUCUCUCUCCGCCA